rnacentral:piRNA from 1 species
UAAAAGUGUUAGGAGGUUCCC